AAACAUUAGUGACAGCCUCGUUUGGCUUAAUUAUUAAGGUCGUUAGCAUCCUCGCUAACACUAUUGUUACUUAGUUUAUGACAAAUCGUCUUGACUGUGCUUUCUAACAUGAUGUCAUUGUGCUAACCAAGAAUCGUUACAACAGAGCCGCUUGUUAGAUAAUGUUUCAUUACAGAAUUCUCUGUUGAUUUGUGUUUUAUGAUGCUGUGUGUUUGUAGUGGAAAAUGAAUGUAAACAAAGUGGUGUGCUAGAAACGCAAUGCGCCAUGACGUAGAUCCCCUAUCAAAAUUAGGCUGAUGUUGGAAGUCCCUCUAGUGGACACAACGUGUAACAACAACCACAUGCUUAUAGUGGCAUUGACAAUACAUAUGCCUCAGUAGUAUUUUAGAUUAAUGUUCAACUA